rnacentral:rRNA from 1 species
GACGAACGCUGGCGGCGUGCUUAACACAUGCAAGUCGAACGGAAAGGCCCUGCUUUUGUGGGGUGCUCGAGUGGCGAACGGGUGAGUAACACGUGAGUAACCUGCCCUUGACUUUGGGAUAACUUCAGGAAACUGGGGCUAAUACCGGAUAGGAGCUCCUGCUGCAUGGUGGGGGUUGGAAAGUUUCGGCGGUUGGGGAUGGACUCGCGGCUUAUCAGCUUGUUGGUGGGGUAGUGGCUUACCAAGGCUUUGACGGGUAGCCGGCCUGAGAGGGUGACCGGCCACAUUGGGACUUAGAAACGGCCCAGACUCCUACGGGAGGCAGCAGGGGGGAAUAUUGCACAAUGGGCGGAAGCCUGAUGCAGCAACGCCGCGUGCGGGAUGACGGCCUUCGGGUUGUAAACCGCUUUCGCCUGUGACGAAGCGUGAGUGACGGUAAUGGGUAAAGAAGCACCGGCUAACUACGUG